rnacentral:rRNA from 1 species
CAGUCGCCACGGUAACACGUAGGGUGCAAGCGUUAAUCGGAAUUACUGGGCGUAAAGCGUGCGCAGGCGGUUAUAUAAGACAGAUGUGAAAUCCCCGGGCUCAACCUGGGAACUGCAUUUGUGACUGUAUAGCUAGAGUACGGCAGAGGGGGAUGGAAUUCCGCGUGUAGCAGUGAAAUGCGUAGAUAUGCGGAGGAACACCGAUGGCGAAGGCAAUCCCCUGGGCCUGUACUGACGCUCAUGCACGAAAGCGUGGGGAGCAAACAGGAUUAGAUACCCGCGUAGUCCCUGUCUCUUAUAC